rnacentral:lncRNA from 1 species
GGAGAACAUGAUCAAUGCUACCAUUAAGCAGGACGACCCGUUUGGCAUUGACUUGGGUCAGCAGAGCCAGAGGAGCACACCAAGACCCUCCCUGCCCAUGGACAAGAUCAUUAUCAAAAGCGAAUAUUCACCCGGCUUGACACCAGGCUCUCCCCAGCUGAGGCCCCCAUCAGCUGGCCCUGCAUUUUCCUUGGCCAACUCUGCACUCUCCACUUCUUCCCCAAUCCCCACAGUUCCCCAGAGUCAGCCUCAGCUUCAGACAGUAUCAGGAGCAAGCAGGGCCCCGCCAAGCUGGCAAGAAGUGUCCCAUGCUCAACAGC